rnacentral:misc_RNA from 1 species
UCUCCGUUGGUGAACCAGCGGAGGGAUCAUUAAGGAGUGAUGGACUCCCACACCUGUGAACGUUAACCAGUCGUUGCUUCGGCGGGCGGCCCUUGGGAAGGGCCUUCUCGAGCCCGCCAAAGUCGUCACUAGAUAUCUGGCCUCUCUGAGCACCAUGGAAUGAAUCAAAACUUUCAACAACGGAUCUCUUGGUUCUGGCAUCGAUGAAGAACGCAGC